UACGUAGGGUGCAAGCGUUGUCCGGAAUUAUUGGGCGUAAAGAGCUCGUAGGCGGUUCGUCGCGUCGGCUGUGAAAACCCGGAGCUCAACUCCGGGCCUGCAGUCGAUACGGGCGGACUUGAGUGUUGCAGGGGAGACUGGAAUUCCUGGUGUAGCGGUGAAAUGCGCAGAUAUCAGGAGGAACACCGGUGGCGAAGGCGCACAUCUGGCCCGAUACUGACGCUGAGGCGCGAAAGCUAAGGGAGCAAACUGG
rnacentral:rRNA from 1 species